rnacentral:rRNA from 1 species
AUUGAACGCUGGCGGCAUGCCUUACACAUGCAAGUCGAACGGCAGCACGGGUGCUUGCACCUGGUGGCGAGUGGCGAACGGGUGAGUAAUGCAUCGGAACGUGCCGUGUAAUGGGGGAUAACGUAGCGAAAGUUACGCUAAUACCGCAUACGCCCUGAGGGGGAAAGCGGGGGAUCGUAAGACCUCGCGUUAUACGAGCGGCCGAUGUCGGAUUAGCUAGUUGGUGGGGUAAAGGCCUACCAAGGCAACGAUCCGUAGCGGGUCUGAGAGGAUGAUCCGCCACACUGGGACUGAGACACGGCCCAGACUCCUACGGGAGGCAGCAGUGGGGAAUUUUGGACAAUGGGCGAAAGCCUGAUCCAGCCAUGCCGCGUGAGUGAAGAAGGCCUUCGGGUUGUAAAGCUCUUUCAGACGGAAAGAAAUCUUCUGGGUUAAUACCCUGGGAGGAUGACGGUACCGUAAGAAGAAGCACCGGCUAACUACGUGCCAGCCGCCGCCGUAA